rnacentral:tRNA from 1 species
GCCGAGGUGGCAGAGAGGCUAUGCAUCCGACUGCAGAUCGGAUUACAUGAGUUCAAAUCUCAUCCUCGGCU